GAUGAACGCUGGCGGCAGGCCUAACACAUGCAAGUCGGACGGUAGCACAGAGAGCUUGCUCUCGGGUGACGAGUGGCGGACGGGUGAGUAAUGUCUGGGGAUCUGCCCGAUAGAGGGGGAUAACCACUGGAAACGGUGGCUAAUACCGCAUAACGUCGCAAGACCAAAGAGGGGGACCUUCGGGCCUCUCACUAUCGGAUGAACCCAGAUGGGAUUAGCUAGUAGGCGGGGUAACGGCCCACCUAGGCGACGAUCCCUAGCUGGUCUGAGAGGAUGACCAGCCACACUGGAACUGAGACACGGUCCAGACUCCUACGGGAGGCAGCAGUGGGGAAUAUUGCACAAUGGGCGCAAGCCUGAUGCAGCCAUGCCGCGUGUAUGAAGAAGGCCUUCGGGUUGUAAAGUACUUUCAGCGGGGAGGAAGGCGAUGUGGUUAAUAACCGCAUUGAUUGACGUUACCCGCAGAAGAAGCACCGGCUAACUCCGUGCCAGCAGCCGCAGUAA
rnacentral:rRNA from 1 species